rnacentral:rRNA from 1 species
GACGAACGCUGGUGGCGUGCCUAAUACAUGCAAGUCGAGCGGACCAAUAGAAGCUUGCUUCUGUUGGUUAACGGCGGACGGGUGAGUAACACGUGGGCAACCUGCCUGUAAGACUGGGAUAACUUCGGGAAACCGGAGCUAAUACCGGAUAAUUCAUCCCCUCGCAUGAGGGGAUGCUGAAAGUCGGUUUACGCUGACACUUACAGAUGGGCCCGCGGCGGAUUAGCUAGUUGGUGAUGUAAUGGCUCACCAAGGCGACGAUGUGUAGCCGACCUGAGAGGGUGAUCGGCCACACUGGGACAGAGACACGGCCCAGACUCCUACGGGAGGCAGCAGUAGGGAAUCUUCCACAAUGGACGAAAGUCUGAUGGAGCAACGCCGCGUGAGCGAUGAAGGCCUUCGGGUCGUAAAGCUCUGUUGUUAGGGAAGAACAAGUAUCGGAGUAACUGCCGGUACCUUGACGGUACCUAACCAGAAAGCCACGGCUAACUACGUGCCAGCAGCAGCCGCAG